UACGUAGGUGACAAGCGUUGUCCGGAUUUACUGGGCGUAAAGAGCGCGCAGGCGGUCGUUCAAGUCGAGUGUGAAAGCCCCCGGCUCAACUGGGGAGGGUCACUCGAUACUGAUCGACUCGAAGGCAGGAGAGGGAUGUAGAAUUCCAGGUGUAGCGGUGAAAUGCGUAGAUAUCUGGAGGAACAUCUGUGGCGAAGGCGACACCCUGGACCAGCACUGACACUGAGGCACGAAAGCGUGGGGAGCAAACAGG
rnacentral:rRNA from 1 species